CUUCAAUUUAUCUGAUGUCAAAAUUAGAAUUACUUCCGCCUGAGAUGACCACAAUUCAAUUGGUAAAUGAUUGGAUUAUCGAAGUCUUAUGUGUGCAAAAAAAUGAUGCAAUUUUUUGGUUGUGGAUAAGAUUUUGAUAUGGCCACUCAAAACAUACCCAAAAAGAACCUAUAUGGUAUCUGCUACAGUUGUUUUUACAUGAGGCAACCGGUCACUUUAAUUAUAAAGUGAGUCCAUCUCAACCGCUCGAUGCAGCUGGGUUUCAUCCAACGACAAUAAUGAAUGCAGACAAAAAAGUAUCGUAUGUGACAACAAUUGCAACAUAGACAAGUUCUAAUGAUGAUUAUAAAGUUGUGAGGAUUUUGCAUUUUUUACAUCAGCUGUGGACAUAGGCGGACCUAACCUUUCUAGGCCUUUUUUUUAAUGUGCUCUAAUUAUUUUAAAGUUAAAUAAAAAGAA
rnacentral:lncRNA from 1 species